rnacentral:rRNA from 1 species
GACGAACGCUGGCGGCGUGCUUAACACAUGCAAGUCGAACGGUAAGGCCCCUUCGGUGGUACACGAGUGGCGAACGGGUGAGUAACACGUUAGCAACCUGCCAUUGACUUUGGGAUACCAGCUGGAAACAGCUGCUAAUACCGGAUAUGACCUCUUCUCUCAUGGGUUGAGGUGGAAAGCUCCGGCGGUUAGGGAUGGGCUCGCGGCCUAUCAGCUUGUUGGUGAGGUAAUGGCUCACCAAGGCUUCGACGGGUAGCCGGCCUGAGAGGGCGACCGGCCACACUGGGACUGAGAUACGGACCAGACUCCUGCGGGAGGCAGCAGUGGGGAAUAUUGCACAAUGGGCGCAAGCCUGAUGCAGCAACGCCGCGUGCGGGAUGACGGCCUUCGGGUUGUAAACCGCUUUCAGUAGGGACGAAGCUAACGUGACGGUACCUACAGAAGAAGGACGGGCUAACUACGUG